CCUGCUUCACUCUUACCAGUCACACCGGCACACUUCGGAUCUUGAAUGUAUCUCAAAGACCCGUGGAUUGAGGGCUUGUUCUUCAAGUCCUUGACACUGCUGGGAGACGGCAGUGGGACCUGAAAAAGUCACGUGGGGAACAGACUUCCUCUGUCACAAGGUCAUUCCAGGUUAUGAUGUGACCACCACACCAAAAGCAACACGGCCAAACAACCAUGGGCUUAAAUCCCAGAAACCAUGAACCCAAAUAAAAGUUUUUACGUUUUAA